rnacentral:rRNA from 1 species
CAUGGCGCUGGUGGCGUGCCUAACACAUGCAAGUCGUAACAAGGUAACCGUUCGCCUGCACNCGGGUGCCGUACGGGUGAGUAAUACAUCGGAACGUGCCCGAUCGUGGGGGAUAACGAGGCGAAAGCUUUGCUAAUACCGCAUACGAUCUACGGAUGAAAGCGGGGGAUCUUCGGACCUCGCGCGGACGGAGCGGCCGAUGGCAGAUUAGGUAGUUGGUGGGAUAAAAGCUUACCAAGCCGACGAUCUGUAGCUGGUCUGAGAGGAUGAUCAGCCACACUGGGACUGAGACACGGCCCAGACUCCUACGGGAGGCAGCAGUGGGGAAUUUUGGACAAUGGGCGAAAGCCUGAUCCAGCCAUGCCGCGUGCAGGAUGAAGGCCUUCGGGUUGUAAACUGCUUUUGUACGGAACGAAAAGCCUCUUUCUAAUAAAGAGGGGUCAUGACGGUACCGUAAGAAUAAGCACCGGCUAACUACGUGCCAGCAGCCGCGGUAAUACGUAGGGUGCAAGCGUUAAUCGGAAUUACUGGGCGUAAAGCGUGCGCAAGCGGUUUU